rnacentral:tRNA from 1 species
GGAUCAUGGCUCAGAGGUAGAGCACGCGCCUAGCAUGCGUGAGGCACUAAGUUCGAUUCUCAGCACCA